rnacentral:misc_RNA from 1 species
GAUGAAGAACGUAGCGAAAUGCGAUAAGUAGUGUGAAUUGCAGAAUUCAGUGAAUCAUCGAAUCUUUGAACGCACAUUGCGCCCCUUGGUAUCCCGAGGGGCAUGCCUGUUCGAGCGUCAUUUCACCACUCAAGCCUGGCUUGGUGUUGGGCGACGUCCCCUUUAGGGACGCGCCUCGAAACGCUCGGCGGCGUGGCACCGGCUUUAAGCGUAGCAGAAUCUUUCGCUUUGGAAGUCGGGGCCCCGCCUGCCGGAAUACCUACUCGUAAGGUUGACCUCGGAUCAGGCAGGGAUACCCGCUGAACUUAAGCAUAUCAAUAAGCGGAGA